GAUGAACGCUGGCGGCGUGCCUAAUACAUGCAAGUCGAGCGAACGGACGAGAAGCUUGCUUCUCUGAUGUUAGCGGCGGACGGGUGAGCAACACGUGGAUAACCUACCUAUAAGACUGGGAUAACUUCGGGAAACCGGAGCUAAUACCGGAUGAUAUUUUGAACCGCAUGGUUCAAAAGUGAAAGACGGUCUUGCUGUCACUUAUAGAUGGAUCCGCGCUGCAUUAGCUAGUUGGUAAGGUAACGGCUUACCAAGGCAACGAUGCAUAGCCGACCUGAGAGGGUGAUCGGCCACACUGGAACUGAGACACGGUCCAGACUCCUACGGGAGGCAGCAGUAGGGAAUCUUCCGCAAUGGGCGAAAGCCUGACGGAGCAACGCCGCGUGAGUGAUGAAGGUCUUCGGAUCGUAAAACUCUGUUAUUAGGGAAGAACAUAUGUGUAAGUAACUGUGCACAUCUUGACGGUACCUAAGCAGAAAGCCACGGCUAACUACGU
rnacentral:rRNA from 1 species